AUUGAACGCUGGCGGCAGGCCUAACACAUGCAAGUCGAACGAGUGGCGGACGGGUGAGUAAUGUCUGGGAAAAUGCCCGAUGGAGGGGGCUAAAUACUGGAAACGGUAGCUACUACCGCAUACCAUCGGAUGUGCCCAGAUGGGAUUAGCUAGUAGGUGGGGUAACGGCUCACCUAGGCGACGCUCCCUAGCUGGUCUGAGAGGAUGACCAGCCACACGGGAACUGAGACACGGGCCAGACCCCUACGGGAGGCAGCAGUGGGGAAUAUUGCACAAUGGGCGAAAGUCGGAUGCAGCCAUGCCGCGUGUAGGAAGAAGGCCUUCGGGUUGUAAAGUACUUUCAGCGAGGAGGCGUUACUCGCAGAAGAAGCACCGGCUAACUCCGUGCCAGCAGCCGCGGUAAUAC
rnacentral:rRNA from 1 species